rnacentral:misc_RNA from 1 species
CAAAUAUAAUGAGAUCUCUCUCCCAACCCCCCUUCCCUUUACCAAAAUGAUAACAGAACUUUUAGAAAUGAAAAAAAAGGGUGGAAAGGGGAUAAAAGCAACAAGUAACUGCAAGAAAUAUUAAAACUCAGCAGAUUAUUCACUACCCAUGGCCAUCAAAAACUCACCCUCGCAAACAACAUCACCUCCAACAUAAGCUUUUCCUUCCAUCUUUGCUAUUCCAAAGCGUUUCUGCAGCUUGAGAAGCGUCAUUCUCAUAACUAAUGUGUCACCUGCAAUUACUGGCUUCCUAAAUCUUACUUUGUCAAUUCCAGCAAAGAAGAAAUUGUCACGAGAUCCUCCAACUUCUGGUUGCAGCAUGACCAAGCCACCAACUUGCGCCAUUGCCUGGGUUUAUCCAACACCAAAAAAUAUGACAACUUAGCUUGGAUAGUAAAAUAUUAAAUAUAUGGCGGAAAAAAGAAACAUCGCGUAUGAAAUAGACAAAUUAUAUUUGAAUUCAUCCUAUGGUGCCAACUAUGAUAUAAACCUUUUUUUACUAAAGAGAUUGAAUAAAAGCAAUGAGUUCUAAAAUAUAAAUAAACUCAUUAUAUCAAAAGUAUACCCAUUUAAUGAUAACAAGAUGAGUAAAACGCCCAAACAGAAAAAUGGAAUGCCCAAUGAAGACUGAAUUAUAAAUGAUGAGUUUAGUGAACCCAUUAAGAGAUGUGAUGUUGAUACGAUAUGCAUUCAAAAGUUAAAGAUGAUCCUUUUAUAUGACAGUUAACUGCCUCAAUAUUUUAUCAUCCUUCAUUGAUUCAGUCUCAAAGGUGAAAAGAUAUUUUCAAAAUGCUAAGGGAAACUGGAAUAUGUCCUUUAGGUAGCAUUGCAAUGUCUCCUAAUUCCUUGCCCAUCUGAAAGCAGCAAAUUUGAAAAUCUGCUUGGAACAAUUGAUCAAAAUACUAAAGCCAGAUCGCUCAUUAAACAAAUUGCUAAACAGUUUCAGUAACUAUUCCAACUUCAUCCUAAGGAUCUUCAAUGUAUCUCCUACGGAUAAAUCAGAUAUGGCCCUUUAGAAAAAAAGCAAUUGCGAACUAGCAGGACCUCCCCAAAUAGAGUUAUAGGAAGAGAAUCCAGUCCUACCUUUCAACUUACCUUUUAACCAAUCAAAAUAAUGCUUAUUAGCACCACAUUAGGUUAUUUGAGUACCAGAAGAGAAAUUUACCAACACAUAAACACCUGAUUAUGUGAAUCAAAAUGUUUAAUCAUUUUCAAAUACUAAGAGAACCAAUUUAAUAGACUUGUCCCUAGGUACCUCAUAUCAAAAAACCCUUAAGUAUCUAAUUAGGUACAACAACAACACCACCACCAACAACUACUCCUUAAUCCCAAACUAGCGGGGGUAAGCAUCAAAUUAGGCAAUCAAGGUAAAUUUUAAUAAAUGAUCACAGCAUUGCAUAUUGCACCACCUUUAAAAAUAACAUUAUAUGUAAACACUCCCAUUAAUUAAUUAGCUUAAUAAGUGAGAAACUUUCAAGUGACAGUGAGACAGUAUUUCUUAAACAGCUAUAGGAAAUUUGGUAAGCAGUUAGCAGUGAGAUUUCAAUUUGAAAAUGCUCAACACUAAAAAUUCUACAAACUACUACGAAUUGCAAAAAGCAAAGCAACCAAUUUCCAUAUAUUCUAAACGGCUGCAGAAAAUUUUCAAGCAGUUACCACUUACCAGUAAGAUUUAAACUACCAUAAAUUCUACAAACUACAAUGAAUUAUAAAAGAUAAAAAAACCUGCUUAAGGGUUUAAAUCAUAUAAAUAACACAGUUUCUAAUAUUUUUGAGACCUAGCAAAUUAAGCCUGCACAAGUGUCAGUGGUCAUAAAUGAGCUCUAAUUGAAACUGAGUCAGUGACUCACAAUUAGAAAACAAAAAUUCAUUCAAAAGUAAAGAGCCCUCAAAUACACUAGAAGGAGCUUUCUUAGAAUUCACAAUGGAACAAUAAAACAAAGAAUACAGUCAAUUAACUGAAGGAAUACUACAACUUCUACCACUGUGUGACUAAAGCCAAAAAAGAGAGCGCAAGCUAGUAAAUAAUGAGGUUACAAAAAAAAAAGAUAUCAUUAUUCAUUCAGAUAUAACAUAGCCAUGUUAUCAUAUAAAACUAUCGUAUUGUCCAAUACAUAUCAUCCAAGGGCAAAAGAACACACUUAGAAUGGUAGAAAAAAAUGGCAAAUGUCAUAGUUGACAUCAUGUAAUGAUCUUUAGGAAAGAAAAUAUUGACAAUUAAAAAGAGAACAACUUUAUAUGUGAAAAUAAUUUAUAUAUACCUCAACCAUGAGAACACCAGGCAUAAUUGGUCUCUCUGGAAAAUGUCCAGGAAAGAAAUUGUCAUUUAUAGUGACAUUCUUGAUAGCAACAGCUGAAACCCCUGGAGUGUACUCAAUCACUCUAUCCACAAGGAGAAAUGGAAACCGGUGAGGUAGAAUCUCACGUAUCUGAUUAAUGUCCAUCACAGUGGGGUAGGCUGCAUAUUCUGCAAAGAAAAGUAAAAUGCUAUAAUACUUAAGAUCAAAUGUUUGCGUAUCAGAGAUGCCAAAUGAUGCAUACUUAGUUCGAUGGGAGUUUCCUCUUCUUUCGAGUCCUUAGCAGAUGCAGCAACAGGGGAACAAUAGGUGGUGAAAAAUCUAAAAUUCUUCUCCUCCUUCAACUGGGUAGAAAGGAAAUGAGAUCUAGAAUUGGGAAACGAAAUUCGAGAGAGAGGAAAUGCAUUAAAAGUGGGUAGAGAACUAGGAGGUGUAGAAGAUAAAGGCAGUAGUGAAUUAGCAAAAACAGUGCUUGCCAUUGUUGAAGAAGAAGAAGAAGAAGAUAUAAAGAUGAGGAAGGCUGAAGCCUUAAGCUGAAGGCGUUAGAAGAUGUUGGGUACUGGAUUUGCAAGAAAGAAAUCGAUAUAUAAGGCGAGAAGUUGGAAUUGCGGACGGGAAUUACGAGGUUAAAAGGGUGUGAAAAGGGUUGAUAGUUUAGAUUCGGAAGCGAGAAUGGGCGGAGAUGUCAAAGCAGAGACCAAGUAAUAUGACUGGUUAGGUUCGUCUUGAGUGAACCGGAGAUCGAACAGGUAGUAUGAGUUGGUUUC